CUUACACAUGCAAGUCGAACGCACCUUCGGGUUGAGUGGCGGACGGGUGAGUAACGCGUGAGAAUCUGCCUUGGGGUCGGGGACAACCACUGGAAACGGUGGCUAAUACCGGAUAAGCCUUUGGGUAAAAAAUUUAUUGCCCCAAGAGGAGCUCGCGUCUGAUUAGCUAGUUGGUGAGGUAAGAGCUCACCAAGGCAGCGAUCAGUAGCUGGUCUGAGAGGACGAUCAGCCACACUGGGACUGAGACACGGCCCAGACUCCUACGGGAGGCAGCAGUGGGGAGUUUUCCGCAAUGGGCGAAAGCCUGACGGAGCAAGACCGCGUGAGGGAGGAAGGCUCUUGGGUUGUAAACCUCUUUUCUCAGGGAAGAAGCUCUGACGGUACCUGAGGAAUCAGCCUCGGCUAACUCCGUGCCAGCAGCCGCGGUAAUACGGAGGAGGCAAGCGUUAUCCGGAAUUAUUGGGCGUAAAGCGUCCGCAGGUGGCGAUUCAAGUCUGCUGUCAAAGCACGGGGCUUAACUCCGUUAAGGCAGUGGAAACUGAAUAGCUAGAGUGCCGUAGGGGUAGAGGGAAUUCCCGGUGUAGCGGUGAAAUGCGUAGAGAUCGGGAAGAACAUCGGUGGCGAAAGCGCUCUACUGGACGGCAACUGACACUCAGGGACGAAAGCUAGGGGAGCGAAUGGGAUUAGAUACCCCAGUAGUCCUAGCUGUAAACGAUGGAUACUAGGUGUAGCUUGUAUCGACCCGAGCUGUGCCGAAGCUAACGCGUUAAGUAUCCCGCCUGGGGAGUACG
rnacentral:rRNA from 1 species